UGGGCCUCUGCUAGGAGCCCCUUCUUCAUCCCCAUUUAGGCAAUAUUAGAAUGGCAUUUUGUUUCAUAUGAAGCUAAAACAUGGCAGACUGAAAAAGCCAAAGACACAUUGCAUACUUUGUUUAUGUAGACAUUCUUCUCCAGUCUGUUACCAAUUAGGGAACAUCAUUUCUACUUCAAGACAGAAAUCAUUUUUGUGCGAAAAUAAUUCAUGGGACAAUCCUACAAAUGAUUAUCAAAAUAACAUUUCUACUCAAUGGGAUGAUCACUCUUGUCCAAUAACACAUAAUCCUAAACCACCAACAUUCUGCUAGGAGCUCCUUCUUUGUUCCUGUAAGGAAGAACAAUUUUUGUAGCAUUGUAAUAACGAGUAAUAAGUCUAUACAAUAUGCAGAGUUGCAGACCAUGAGUUCAAAAAAUCAAGAGUACUCAGAUAAACAUCCAAGAAGAAAUUUGACUUAGCAUUUCGCCUAACACACGCUGAUAAAAUUGAGAUGCACUUACAAUUGGACAUUCGAGCAGGAGUGCGGCGAGUGCGUGCCCUUAACGCUGAGAUGCAGGGAUGGAACAGGCAGAAGGGGUGUGCUCAUGACGCCAAAGAGAAACCAAACUUUGUUGAUGGCCGUGCUGGCGCCGGCCAUAUCGACAGCUACCGGCGAAGGCAUUCGCAUGAAUUUCCAGCAAAUCCAUCGCCCCCAUCUCUCCCUCCCAGUCCUCAGGCACUGCAUCCCUCUCCAUCGUCGGACUCCUGCCGGUUUAUACUCCCUCACCAAGUCACUAGGAGUGCAUCGCCCAAUUUACCACAUGAAGGGGGGUGGGGCACACCUCCUUGGUUUUCUG
rnacentral:lncRNA from 1 species